rnacentral:rRNA from 1 species
ACUCAAUUAAACCUAAAGGCGCAAUGAAAGUGAAGGUCCGCCUCGCGCGGACCGAGGGAGGAUGGGCCCGUCCACGGGCGGGCCCCGCACUCCCGGGGCGUCUCGUUCUCACAGCGAGAAGAGGCGCACCCAGAGCGUACACGCUGGGACCCGAAAGAUGGUGAACUAUGCCUGGUCAGGACGAAGUCAGGGGAAACCCUGAUGGAGGUCCGUAGCGAUUCUGACGUGCAAAUCGAUCGUCGGAACUGGGUAUAGGGGCGAAAGACUAAUCGAACCUUCUAGUAGCUGGUUCCUUCCGA